rnacentral:rRNA from 1 species
CAAGGGAUCUUCCGCAAUGGACGCAAGUCUGACGGAGCGACGCCGCGUGCGCGACGAAGCCCUUCGGGGUGUAAAGCGCUUUUCUCGGAGACGAGCAAGGACGGUAUCCGAGGAAUAAGCCUCGGCUAACUACGUGCCAGCAGCCGCGGUAAUACGUAGGAGGCGAGCGUUGUCCGGAAUCACUGGGCGUAAAGCGCGUGUAGGCGGGGGUAGUAGUCUGCUGUGAAAGCGCCUGGCUCAACCGGGCGAGGUCGGCGGAAACUCUGCCCCUAGAGGGCGGUAGAGGGGGGUGGAAUUCCCGGUGUAGUGGUGAAAUGCGUAGAGCUCGGGAGGAACACCAGUGGCGCAGGCGGCCCCCUGGGCCGCACCUGACGCUGAGACGCGAAGGCGUGGGGAGCGAACGGGAUUAGAUACCCGCGUAGUCC